rnacentral:rRNA from 1 species
GACGAACGCUGGCGGCGUGCCUAACACAUGCAAGUCGAACGAGAUCCAUGGGAGCUUGCUCCCGGAAGAUCUAGUGGCGAACGGGUGAGUAACACGUGAGAAACCUGCCCUGGAGUGGGGGAUAACUCGGGGAAACUCGAGCUAAUACCGCAUACCCUCGGAUGGUCGCAUGGCCGACCGAGGAAAGAUUUAUCGCUCUAGGAGGGUCUCGCGGCCUAUCAGCUAGUUGGUGGGGUAACGGCCUACCAAGGCAACGACGGGUAGCUGGUUUGAGAGAACGAUCAGCCACACUGGGACUGAGACACGGCCCAGACUCCUACGGGAGGCAGCAGUGGGGAAUCUUGCGCAAUGGGCGAAAGCCUGACGCAGCAACGCCGCGUGCGGGAUGACGGCCUUCGUGGUCGUAAACCGCUUUCAGCAGGGACGAAAAUGACGGUACCUGCAGAAGAAGCCCCGGCUAACUACGUGCCAGCAGCCGCGGUAAU